UGAGCGCGCGCGGACGACCGCCCCUGGCUGCCGAUCCACCCCCGCAGCCGCUGCCGCCGCUGCCCGCGCCCCAUGCGCCCUGGCCGCUGCCCCCCUUACCCCCGCCCCUGGUGCGACCGUCCCCGCCGCUGCGCUUCUUCCUGUCGCCGCCCUGCUGACCGCCAGGCCCUUCCCCGAGGCCGCCGACCUUAGCGGCAGCGGGCGGGUGGCCUGAGCUCAGGUAACCAGCCAGACGUUCCAUCUCAAUGGGCUCUUCUGCAGCAGCUCAGGAGUGGUAUCAGGAAGCCAUCCUUGACCUUGGGGACCUCUGAGAGCCUGGGACCCACCAGCGAGAAGGGCAGUGUAUUAGCUUCCUGUGAUUGCAGUAACAAACUACCACAACUGAGUUGCUUACAUAACAGAAGUUUAUUCUCUCACAGUUCCGAAGGCCAGAAACCCAAAAUCAAGGUGUUGGCAGUGCCCUGCUCCCUCCGCAGGUUCUAGGGGAGAAUCCUUUCUUAUGUUUCCCAGUUUCCGGCGGCUCCAGGCCCUCCUCGGCCUGUGGCUGCAUCACUCCAGUCUCUGCCUCCUUCUUCACAUGGCCUUCUCUGUGUCUGUCUGUUAUCUGUCUCUGUUUUUCUCUUAUAAGGAUACCUGGGCUGGCUAGUUAGAGUGUGGUGCUGAUAACACCAAGGUCCAGAGUUCCGUCCCUGUACCAGCCAGCUGCAAAAAAAAAAAAAAGACACCUGUCAUUGGAUGUAGGGCCCACCCUAAAUUCAGGAUGAUCUUGUUUUGAUAUCCUUAAUUAAAUUACAUUUGCAAAGAUCCCUUUAUCAAAUAAAGUCACAUUCACAGA